rnacentral:lncRNA from 1 species
GGCCGCUAACCACUUGUCAUGUUCUAUCUUAAAUUUGGGCCCCCUCUUAAAGCUCUUCUAUAUUUACUGUAAUGUUUUCUUCAUUUUUAAGAAUUAUGAUGGGGGAUCCUCCUAUUGGAAUUUAAUUCUAAGACCUGUCACACAUGAAGAGGGAUGUCAACUGAUUGAGAUUAAUCGAGAAUUGGCUGCAUCAACUUUUUCGUAACAUAACUAAACUU